rnacentral:rRNA from 1 species
AGAAUCAACGCUGGCGGCGUGCCUAACACAUGCAAGUCGAACGAGAAAGUGGAGCAAUCCAUGAGUAAAGUGGCGACCGGGUGAGUAACACGUGACUAACCUACCUUCGAGUGGGGGAUAACCUCGGGAAACCGAGGCUAAUACCGCAUAACAUCGCAAGAUCAAAGCAGCAAUGCGCUGGAAGAGGGGGUCGCGGCUGAUUAGCUAGUUGGCGGGGUAACGGCCCACCAAGGCGAAGAUCGGUAGCCGGCCUGAGAGGGCGCACGGCCACACUGGAACUGAAACACGGUCCAGACUCCUACGGGAGGCAGCAGUGGGGAAUUUUGCGCAAUGGGGGAAACCCUGACGCAGCAACGCCGCGUGGAGGAUGAAGUCCUUCGGGACGUAAACUCCUUUCGAUCGGGACGAUUAUGACGGUACCGGAAGAAGAAGCCCCGGCUAACUUCGUGCCAGCAGCCGC